CACUGUCAGCGACCUCACCCCGUCCAAGUCAUCCUGCACGAGCAGCUCGCCGUCACCCGCACCUCCUCCCUCGCCCCGAUCGCUGCUGGAGCCGGAGUCACAGGACAGGAAUUCAUCUUCAGAAGGAUUCAAAUGGCCAUAACAGCUGAAUGAUGCUUUGCUCGAACCACUGUGGUGUAACUUAGCUUCAAAAACAAAUAAAAUUAAAACACAAUUUUACUGUAAAUGUGGACCAACAACCAUUGCACUGUCUUUGUGUCCUGAAUUAAUUAAUUACAUUUAAAUUAGCUGUUAAAUGUAAAAACAUGUGCCACGAUAUGGUGUGAUUUUCCUUUUAUUCGUAUGCAC